GACGAACGCUGGCGGCGUGCUUAACACAUGCAAGUCGAACGGAAAGGCCCUGCACUUGUGGGGUGCUCGAGUGGCGAAAGGGUGAGUAACACGUGAGUAACCUGCCCUUUACUUUGGGAUAACUUCAGGAAACUGGGGCGAAUACAGGAUAGGAGCUCCUGCAGCAUGGUGGGGGUUGGAAAGUUUCGGCGGUUGGGGAUGGACUCGCGGCUUAUCAGCUUGUUGGUGGGGUAGUGGCUUACCAAGGCUUUGACGGGUAGCCGGCCUGAGAGGGUGACCGGCCACAUUGGGACUGAGAUACGGCCCAGACUCCUACGGGGGGCAGCGGUGGGGAAUAUUGCACGAUGGGCGGAAGCCUGAUGCAGCAACGCCGCGUGCGGGAUGACGGCCUUCGGGUUGUAAACCGCUUUCGCCUGUGACGAAGCGUGAGUGACGGUAAUGGGUAAAGAAGCACCGGCUAACUACGUG
rnacentral:rRNA from 1 species